UACGUAGGGUGCGAGCGUUGUCCGGAAUUACUGGGCGUAAAGAGCUCGUAGGUGGUUUGUCGCGUUGUCCGUGAAAACUCACAACUCAAUUGUGGGCGUGCGGGCGAUACGGGCAGACUGGAGUACUGCAGGGGAGACUGGAAUUCCUGGUGUAGCGGUGGAAUGCGCAGAUAUCAGGAGGAACACCGGUGGCGAAGGCGGGUCUCUGGGCAGUAACUGACGCUGAGGAGCGAAAAGCGUGGGGGAGCGAAACAGG
rnacentral:rRNA from 1 species